GUGCCAGCCGCCGCGGUAAUACGGAGGGUGCAAGCGUUGUCCGGAAUCACUGGGCGUAAAGGGCGCGUAGGCGGCCGCAUAAGUCACUUGUGAAAUCCCGGGGCUCAACUCCGGGGCCGCAGGUGAGACUGUGUGGCUAGAGCUCGGUAGAGGCAAGUGGAAUUCCCGGUGUAGCGGUGGAAUGCGUAGAUAUCGGGAAGAACAUCGGUGGCGAAGGCGGCUUGCUGGGCCGAUGCUGACGCUGAGGCGCGAAAGCGUGGGGAGCAAACAGGAUUAGAAACCCCGGUAGUCC
rnacentral:rRNA from 1 species